AGCGAACGCUGGCGGCAGGCUUAACACAUGCAAGUCGAGCGGGCACUUUCGGGUGUCAGCGGCGGACGGGUGAGUAACGCGUGGGAACGUGCCCUCUGGUUCGGAAUAACUCAGGGAAACUUGAGCUAAUACCGGAUACGCCCUUUUGGGGAAAGGCUUGCUGCCGGAGGAUCGGCCCGCGUCUGAUUAGCUAGUUGGUGAGGUAACGGCUCACCAAGGCGACGAUCAGUAGCUGGUCUGAGAGGAUGAUCAGCCACACUGGGACUGAGACACGGCCCAGACCCCUACCGGAGGCAGCAGUGGGGAAUAUUGGACAAUGGGCGCAAGCCUGAUCCCGCCAUGCCGCGUGAGUGAUCAAGGCCUUAGGGUUGUAAAGCUCUUUUAUCCGGGACGAUAAUGACGGUACCGGAGGAAUAAGCCCCGGCUAACUUCGUG
rnacentral:rRNA from 1 species